rnacentral:lncRNA from 1 species
UAUAAUUAGGUCUUUCCACCUUUCCGUGGAAAGACCUAUUGCUUUUGUUCUGAUUAUUAGGUCUUUCCACCUUUCCGUGGAAAGACCUAUUGGAUUUCUUCUGAUUAUUAUUAUUAUUUUUUUUUUUAUUCUUCCGCCUAAUUCUUUUCUUGCGUAGUAUUGAUGUUUCAAAAGAUGUCGCUUAGAUAUUUGGAAUAUGAUAUCGUAAAGCGUAUGCACUUUUAAAACUGACCACUGCGUAACCAAAUACUUUACGUUGUAAGAGUUAUCUCCCCAAACACUGUUUUUCUUGUGGCCACUUCUCCUUCGCAACCGUAAAAGAUUACGACAAAUUUAUUUUGCCAAAUUGCUCGUUAUAUCCUCAGGAUGUUCUGUUUCAUUUUGACUGAAGCCGUAUAGAGAUUCCAUAUGAGAGUUAGUUCCCC